rnacentral:rRNA from 1 species
UUUAACUGAGCGUUCAGUUACUUGACGUAGACCCGAAACCGGGCGACCUACCCAUGAGCAGGAUGAAGCGAAAGUAAAAUUUCGUGGAGGUCCGAACCCACGAGCGUUGAAAAGCUCGGGGAUGACUUGUGGGUAGCGGUGAAAUUCCAAUCGAGCCCGGAGAUAGCUGGUUCUCCCCGAAAUAGCUUUAGGGCUAGCCUCAAGGUGAGAGAUACGGAGGUAGAGCACUGAAUGUCCUAGGGGGUAUUGCACCUACCGAAGACUAUCAAACUCCGAAUGCCGUCAUCUUAUACUUGGGAGUCAGACUGUGGGUGAUAAGAUUCAUAGUCGAAAGGGCAACAGCCCAGAUCGUCAGCUAAGGUCCCUAAAUGUAAGUUAAGUGGUAAAGGAUGUGGGAUUGCACAGACAACCAGGAUGUUGGCUUAGAAGCAGCCACUCAUUCAAAGAGUGCGUAAUAGCUCACUGGUCGAGUGAUCCUGCGCCGAAGAUUUCCGGGGCUAAAACUUACUACCGAAGCUACGGCAUCAGUAAUGAUGGGUAGGGGAGCUUCCCAUACGGGUUGAAGCAUGACCGUAAGGACAUGUGGACAGUAUGGGAGUGAGAAUGUUGGCAUGAGUAGCGAGAUGUGGGUGAGAAUCCCACAGGCCGUAAACCCAAGGUUUCCAGGGGAAGGUUCGUCCGCCCUGGGUUAGUCGGGACCUAAGCUGAGGCCGAAAGGCGUAGGUGAUGGACAACAGGUUGAUAUUCCUGUACUACCGAUAACCGUUUGAGAGAAGGGAUGACACAGUAGGAUAAGCUAAGCACACUGUUGGUUAUGUGUGCCCAAGCAUUGAGGCAGUCAAAGUAGGCAAAUCCGCUUUGAUAAUGCUAGGAUGUGAUGGGGAGCGAAAUUUAGUAGCGAAGUAGCUGAUUUCACACUGUCAAGAAAAGUCUCUAUCGAGGUUAAAGGUACCCGUACCGCAAACCGACACAGGU